rnacentral:rRNA from 1 species
GACGUAGGGGGCCAGCGUUGCUCGGAAUUACUGGGUGUAAAGGGUUCGUAGGCGGUGUGGCAAGUCGGGAGUGAAAUCUCUGGGCUCAACCCAGAGUCUGCUUCCGAAACUGCUGUGCUUGAGUGUGGGAGAGGCGCGUGGAAUUGCAGGUGUAGCGGUGAAAUGCGUAGAUAUCUGCAGGAACACCCGUGGCGAAAGCGGCGCGCUGGACCACUACUGACGCUGAUGCGCGAAAGCGUGGGGAGCAAACGGG